CUCCUCCCUUCCAAAAGUUCCCCGUUGUUCUUGUUCACCACCAUGACAAAGCUUUACGGAACGUUAUUAUUUGUUUUUGUGUGUGUAAAUAGGAAUUUAUAAGUCGUCCACAACGCGUGUUGAUAUUGUUAGAGAGCAGUAUUUAUGUUUUGAAAUAAACUUUACAGUAAGAGACAGAGAUGCUAUCGACCCUUUCAUUUUCCCUGUCCACCCGUGAGAAAACAUUGAAACGAAACGAGUUUAGAGGGGCACUCGUUUCAGAUCGAUAAGUAUGUGUAAUUCCGAUAUCGAUCCCGGUGAGCUGACGAGCGCCGGUGGAGUAGGCAACCCAUCGCGCACGGGGGCGCUCCGUGAAGCUCGCCCGCUGCACAGCAGGGGCGCCGCCGCACGAGCUAGCUCGCCACAGCGAUACACCUUGACGUCGAACGCCGAAAUUAUACGUCAAUUUUCGGACUGCAACCAUCCGAACGCACGUCUAAUCGACGCCUAUACCAGGGCACUCACUCACAAGCAGCGUCUCGUAUGGCAAGGGCCGUUAUAACAUUUCAAACUAACGAAACCUAUAUUUGCCAAGUCGCAUAUACACCCAUCUGAACGUGGCUAUGACGGCGGUCUGCGCUGCCGCCGCUGCCGCCUCAGCACGCUCAGCAUCGCUCAGCACAAAACACGACGGGCCGCGCGGUCAGCAGAAGCGAUGUGCCCAUCUCCCCGGCUGGGCGACGACGGCGACGCAGUCCCUGGCGCUUCCCUGCAGCACCUGCGGCUGCGUCGGAGGUCGGUGAAGACUUUAUGGGAGACCGUGGCAUCGUAAAAGAGAAAAGACCCGUAGCCAGAGCAGUGGCAACAACGUCGGCGACUGCACCCAGCUCGGCGUCGACGCAGACGACGACGUCCACGUCCCCGCCCGCACCGCGACCGCACGGCGACGCCCGCAUCUCAGUGCAGCCGCUCCCUGCAGGAGAUCCAGAAGGGCGACCCGGCCCGGCUACAGCAGCAGCGUGUCAAUAGAGGAGAGGCCACAAGCUGCUGGCUCCCCGGCGAGGUCCUAGACCAGACCACCACGAGGCGCUGAGCGGACCGGACAUACAGAGGACCCAGACCAGCCCCAACUAGCACCAUGCCGGCCGACUACGACAUCUCCGUCCAGCCGGUGCCCGAGUGGGGUGAGUCAGUUUAACUAUACUGCUUGA